rnacentral:ncRNA from 1 species
UUAAACAAGAUCGGAGAGAUCCGAGACAUACACCUGUCCCUAUCUACUAUCUAGCGAAACCACAGCCAAGGGAACGGGCUUGGAAUAAUUAGCGGGGAAAGAAGACCUUUUGAGCUUGACUCUAUUCUGGCAGUGGUAUGAGACAUGAGAAGUUGUAAAUAAAGGGGAAGAUAUAGAACUUCGGUUUGGUAUCGCCAAUGAAAAACCCCACUCUUAUUGUUUCCUUACUUUCCUUGAUUAAAUGGAACGUGUAUCAUUUCCAAGCCAUUAUAACGGAAAUUUUUUUUUAUUUUUUUAGGGAAUU